rnacentral:rRNA from 1 species
CUUACCGAUGGGCGACCGGCGCACGGGUGAGUAACACGUAUCCAACCUGCCGAUAACUCGGGGAUAGCCUUUCGAAAGAAAGAUUAAUAUCCGAUAGGAUAUCAAGGUCGCAUGAUCUUGAUAUUAAAGAAUUUCGGUUAUCGAUGGGGAUGCGUUCCAUUAGUUAGUUGGCGGGGUAACGGCCCACCAAGACGACGAUGGAUAGGGGGUUCUGAGAGGAAGGUCCCCCACAUUGGAACUGAGACACGGUCCAAACUCCUACGGAAGGCAGCAG